rnacentral:misc_RNA from 1 species
UGAAGAGGGACUAAAUGAUAACAUAAAGAUAAUGAUCACUGCCUUGGGAAUCACAGACUUCACCAAGUUAGUCGAAGCUGCAAUAAAAGUUGAGAAAGUCAGAAUAAGUGAGCAGACUAGAAGAGAGAGACAGCAAAAGAGGGGUCCAGGUCAGUCUAGCUCAUCUCUUGCACCUGGAAAGAAGUUCAAAGGUCUACCUGCUCAGAGUUCAGGUCAGCCUCAAGGUCAGGGUCAGUCCCACGGGCCCAGGCCGCAGUUUACACCUAGGAGAGGCCAGUCCACACCAUCAGUGGGCAGC